UGAAACAUCUAAGUACCCGGAGGAAGAGAAAGCAAACGCGAUUUCCUAAGUAGCGGCGAGCGAAACGGAAGAAGCCCAAACCAAGAGGCUUGCCUCUUGGGGUUGUAGGACACUCAAAACGGAGUUACAAAAGAAUGAUGUAGGUGAAGCGACAUGGAAAGGUCGGCCGAAGAAGGUAACAGCCCUGUAGCUGAAACAUCAUUCACUCUUGAGUGGAUCCUGAGUACGGCGGGACACGAGAAAUCCCGUCGGAAGCAGGGAGGACCAUCUCCCAAGGCUAAAUACUCCCUAGUGACCGAUAGUGAACCAGUACCGUGAGGGAAAGGUGAAAAGCACCCCGGGAGGGGAGUGAAAGAGAACCUGAAACCGUGUGCCUACAAGUAGUCAGAGCCCGUUCAAGGGUGAUGGCGUGCCUUUUGUAGAAUGAACCGGCGAGUUACGAUCUCGUGCAAGGUUAAGUUGAAGAAACGGAGCCGCAGCGAAAGCGAGUCUUAAGAGGGCGAGUAAGUACGAGGUCGUAGACCCGAAACCAGGUGAUCUACCCAUGUCCAGGGUGAAGGUAGGGUAACACCUACUGGAGGCCCGAACCCACGCACGUUGAAAAGUGCGGGGAUGAGGUGUGGGUAGCGGAGAAAUUCCAAUCGAACUUGGAGAUAGCUGGUUCUCCCCGAAAUAGCUUUAGGGCUAGCCUUAAGAAAAGAGUCUUGGAGGUAGAGCACUGAUUGGACUAGGGGCCCCCAUCGGGUUACCGAAUUCAGUCAAACUCCGAAUGCCAAGCACUUAUGCUUAGGAGUCAGACUACGAGUGAUAAGGUCCGUGGUCAAGAGGGAAACAGCCCAGACCACCAGCUAAGGUCCCAAAGUGUACGUUAAGUGGCAAAGGAUGUGGAGUUGCCCAGACAACCAGGAUGUUGGCUUAGAAGCAGCCACCAUUUAAAGAGUGCGUAAUAGCUCACUGGUCGAGUGACUCUGCGCCGAAAAUGUAACGGGGCUAAACGUACCACCGAAGCUGUGGGUGAACAGAAAUGUUCGCGGUAGGGGAGCGUUCUAAGGGCAUUGAAGCUAGACCGGAAGGACUGGUGGAGCGCUUAGAAGUGAGAAUGCCGGUGUAAGUAGCGAAAAGACAGGUGAGAAUCCUGUCCAUCGAAAGCCUAAGGUUUCCUGAGGAAGGCUCGUCCGCUCAGGGUAAGUCGGGACCUAAGCCGAGGCCGAAAGGCGUAGGCGAUGGCCAACAGGUUGAAAUUCCUGUACCACCUCAUUACCGUUUUCCCGCAAGGGGACAAGGGGCACUAAGCGCUAAAGCGCAAAGACCCCCUUCGAAGCAAUGGAGGGACGCAGGAGGAUAGGGCAAGCGCGCUGUUGGAAAUGCGCGUCCAAGCAGGUAGGCUGAGAAGUAGGCAAAUCCGCUUCUCGAAAAGGCUGAGCUGUGAUGGCGAGGGAAAAACAGUACCGAAGUUCCUGAUUCCACACUGCCAAGAAAAGCUUCUAGCGAGGUAGAAGGUGCCCGUACCGCAAACCGACACAGGUAGGCGAGGAGAGAAUCCUAAGAUGCGCGAGAGAACUCUCGUUAAGGAACUCGGCAAAAUGACCCCGUAACUUCGGGAGAAGGGGUGCUCUGAUAGCGUGCAAGCGUGAGAGAGCCGCAGUGAAUAGGCCCAAGCGACUGUUUAGCAAAAACACAGGUCUCUGCGAAGCCGUAAGGCGAAGUAUAGGGGCUGACACCUGCCCGGUGCUGGAAGGUUAAGAGGAGAGGUUAUCGCAAGAGAAGCUUUGAAUCGAAGCCCCAGUAAACGGCGGCCGUAACUAUAACGGUCCUAAGGUAGCGAAAUUCCUUGUCAGGUAAGUUCUGACCCGCACGAAAGGUGUAACGACUUGGGCACUGUCUCAACGAGAGACUCGGUGAAAUCAUAGUACCUGUGAAGAUGCAGGUUACCCGCGACAGGACGGAAAGACCCCGUGGAGCUUUACUGCAGCCUGAUAUUGAAUUUUGGUACAGCUUGUACAGGAUAGGUAGGAGCCUGGGAAGUGGGAGCGCCAGCUUCCAUGGAGGCAAUCAUCUAGUUGGGAUUUAAUACUUUGCAACUCUGUUAAAAUCUGUUGUAAUAUUUUGUCGCCCAUGGCUAUCCACCCUUAUUAGUUUUAUUGUUUUUAUUUGUUAGCAAUUCAAAUGUUCUUCGUAAGUGCUCGAUAUCUUUGCGGCUCAUGUUUUUCCAUUUUUCGAUGUCAAAGAAGCCGAUGUCGUCGAUUUGAUAUUCAUUAAGCAACUUAUUAAUCUCAGAUAGCUGAUUAAAAUCUUCGUGAGAAUAAGGUAUUGAUUGCUUUGGGUUGUCCGUUCUACCAAGUAUAUAGUCUGUUGUUGUACUAAAUAUUUCAGCAAUCUUAUUUAUUGCAUCAGCAGGCGGGAUUUUUGUUCCAUUUUCAUAAGCAGUAUAAGUUACUCUUGCAAUUCCUAUUAAAUUUGCAACAUAUUCUUGAGUAUAUUUACUGUUUUCCUUUUUCUUUUCAUCACGUAGUUGUUUUAUUCUCUUAGCUAAAAUAUCCAUUAUCAUCAGCUCGUUUCUAUGCUACCUUAUUCUAAUUAUAAUGUUACCGAAAGAAACUUUGUAUAAAUGUUACUAAUAGGAUAAAAGAUAAAGGAAACAAGACGAACAAAGUGAGUCAAUGUUGACUUAUCGUA
rnacentral:rRNA from 1 species